rnacentral:tRNA from 1 species
GCCCCCGUAGCUCAGCUGGAUAGAGCGGCAGAUUCCUAAUCUGUAGGCCCCGUGUUCGAAUCACGGCGGGGGCACCA